AUUGAACGCUGGCGGCAGGCCUAACACAUGCAAGUCGAACGGUAACAGGAAGAAGCUUGCUUCUUUGCUGACGAGUGGCGGACGGGUGAGUAAUGUCUGGGAAACUGCCUGAUGGAGGGGGAUAACUACUGGAAACGGUAGCUAAUACCGCAUAACGUCGCAAGACCAAAAAGGGGGACCUUCGGGCCUCUUGCCAUCGGAUGUGCCCAGAUGGGAUCAGCUAGUAGGUGGGGUAACGGCUCACCUAGGCGACGAUCCCUAGCUGGUCUGAGAGGAUGACCAGCCACACUGGAACUGAGACACGGUCCAGACUCCUACGGGAGGCAGCAGUGGGGAAUAUUGCACAAUGGGCGCAAGCCUGAUGCAGCCAUGCCGCGUGUAUGAAGAAGGCCUUCGGGUUGUAAAGUACUUUCAGCGGGGAGGAAGGGAGUAAAGUUAAUACCUUUGCUCAUUGACGUUACCCGCAGAAGAAGCACCGGCUAACUCCG
rnacentral:rRNA from 1 species